rnacentral:rRNA from 1 species
CCCCCUUCGGGGGGACGAGGGUGACAGGUGGUGCAUGGUUGUCGUCAGCUCGUGUCGUGAGAUGUUGGUUAAGUCCCGCAACGAGCGCAACCCUCGCCUCUAGUUGCCAGCAUUCGGUUGGGCACUCUAGAGGGACUGCCGGCGACAAGUCGGAGGAAGGUGGGGAUGACGUCAAAUCAUCAUGCCCCUUAUGACCUGGGCUACACACGUGCUACAAUGGGCGGUACAAAGGGCUGCGAACCCGCGAGGGGGAGCGAAUCCCAAAAAGCCGCUCUCAGUUCGGAUUACAGGCUGCAACUCGCCUGCAUGAAGCCGGAAUCGCUAGUAAUCGCGGAUCAGCAUGCCGCGGUGAAUACGUUCCCGGGCCUU